rnacentral:lncRNA from 1 species
AUCAGUAUUUACUGCAAACAUUUUUGUAUUUAUUUACUUCAGCACUUCCAAGUUUUGGUGGACAUCCUCUAAUCACAUAGACCAAUUUCAUGACUCUUUGCAGGGUUUUGUUUUUGUUUUUUUUCAUUUUUGGCCACAUUUACAUCAUGUAGAAGUUCCCCUGGCCAUGAAUCAAAUCUGAGCUGCAUCUGUGACCUAAGUGCUGGAUUCUUAAUGCGCUAUGCUAGGCUGGGGAUCGAAUUUGUGAUGCUGCAGAGACAACACUGGGUCCUUAACCUGCUGUACUAAAAUGGGAACUCCUCAUAACUUUUUGUAUUUCUAUGUUUUGUUUGAACUUUUCUGAGAUGCUUCCCAAUAUUUUUUGGUUUGGCAAAAUACUAUUACUUCUAUGAAACCCAGCUAAAGAUUUAAUUUAUCUGUCAGAACUUCCUUGAUAUAAAUAGGCAGGACUGGUAGCUCUGUUCCCUGUGAUUCUAAAAUACUUUGUAUAACUAACCUGUCUUACUGCAUAUACUACUCUGCACUGUAAUUAUUUGUAUUCUUGUGUAUUUUACCAAAGCCUGAGCUCCUAAGGUCUGGUAUAUAUCUCUCUUUCAAUUUUUUUUUAAAUGAAGGAUGGAUAGAUAAAUGGAUGAUAUUUGAUGUUAGAUUUUAAUGAUAUUAUACAAUUUUUAAAAGUUAACACAUUUUAAAGAGACUGGUACAGCAAAAAAUCUCUAAUACAGUUCCUAUACCUUGGCACAUCAACGAGUCUUACAGCAUUCAAAAUAACUGCCACCGUAGCAAAUAAUUUACUUUCUUAUCUGUCACAAUUGUUGAGAUAAACUCAUUAUUUCCUUUGAAACAUGGAUUAGAAACAUACAAAAAAGUAAGGAAUAAAGGAUUUUAUUUUUCAUAAGUUGUCAUAUGACCCAGUAAUUCCACUCCUGGGCAUACACCCAGACAAAACAAUAAUUCAAAAAGAUAAAUGAACCCCUAUGUUCAUAGCAGCACUAUUUACAAUAGCCAAGACUUGGAAACAACCUAAAUGUCCAUUAACAGAUGAGUGGAUUAAGAAGACGCAGUAUAUGUAUAUAAUGGAAUAUUACUCAGCCGUAAAAAGAAUGAAAUAAUGCCAUUUGCAAUGAUGUGGAUAGACCUAGAGAUGAUCAUACUAAGUGAAGUAAGUCAGAAAGAGAAAGACAAAUACCAUAUGAUUAUACUUAUAUGUGGAAUAUAAAAUAUGACACAAAUGAACAUAUCUACAAAACAGAAACAGACUCACAUACAUAGAGAACAGAUUUGUGGUUGCCAAGGAGGAGAGAAGGAUUAGGAGUUUGGGAUUAGCAGGUGGAAAUUAUUAUAUAUAGAAUGGAUAAGCCAGGUCCUACUGAAUAGCACAGGGAAUUAUAUUUAAUAUCCUGUGACAAACCACAAUGGAAAAUAUAUGAAAAAAAAAUAUAUAUAUAUGUAUAACUGAAUCACUUUGCUGUAUAGUAGAAAUUAACACAACAUUGUAAUUCAAUUAUACUUCAUUAAAAUUUUGUAAUAAUUUUAUUUCUAUUUCUUUGUAAGGUUUAUUUGACUGGUAUUCCUUUUACCUAAUCACAAAAUAGAAGUUAAAAUUUCUUUAACUGUGUUUCUGUUAUUUUUAUUUUAUGCCUAGAAGACAUCUCACAUUAUGCUACAAACUGCCACAAUCUGUGACUUUUCUCUAGGUAUAUUUCCAAUAAAGAGGCACUGACAAAAAUGAAGUGACAGAGGGUGACUUUAAAGUCAACCACUCAGUCACAGAUGUGCUCCUAGAAAUGCAUUAGUGUCCAGGAACCAAAUUACAUGCCACUGAGUUAAAUCCUGGCAAACUGAUACUGGUAAUAAUGUAAUGAACUGAAAAAGUGCUACCAGGUUGAGUUAACAGUGAUUUGGAGUCAUAAUAGUAUAUUUCUGUUAACAGAGAAAAUACAUAUACAAAAUAGUACAAUUUCUCCUCAAAAAAGAAAAAAAAAUCAUUUUGCUAGAUAUUUUUAGUAGAACACUCUGUCAUGCAUGUGUUAGACAAGAGAAUAGUAAACAGCUAUGAACUUUGGUCCUCAGUUUUCUCACAUAGGGAGAGCAUUCACUGAAGUGUAAAAAGGAAAAAAAAAUAACUCCAAAGAAGCUGCAAGCAAGGAGGGCAGAAGAUUAGCAAGGAUAAAAAGAAUGACUGCAGGAACGUAUACAAUAUAACAACUAUUUCAGAUCAUAUCAAUUAUCCUUAGGUAAUAUUCAGUAGCAAUUUCACAGUUUCAGAACCCCAAUACUUUUUUCCUGUGUGCAGUACUCUUGCUCAGAAAGCAAUAACAUCAAAAAAAAAAAACUAUCAUAACCUUGUUCUGUGUCAACAUUAUGGAUUCCAUUGUUGAAAUUAAAACAGAUAUUAGGAAGAUCUCUCAUGAGUUAUGCUCAAACUAUUCCUUUCACCAAUGCUUGCAUGUAAUUCCGCAGACAUUAAAUUCUUGAAUCUAGACACAGGAAUACUGUGCACAUAGACUUUUGUUAAAUUGAAUGUUCUGAACAUUUUAGAAGAUUGGAUGCAUCAUUACCAGAUACUGAGAUGCCACUGAUUCUUGGAUUUUCACAAUUCUCUAAAUGCUGGGUAGGUGGAAUCAAAGACUAUAAAACUCUAUAGCACUCUGUGCCUAGCUGGCUCAAGCACAUACAUUUAGAUAAGAAAAGAACACUGGAACACAAACAUGUUUGUUGCAACAGCUAUCUUGGGUGAAAUCCAUGGUAUCUUUAUCUAAGUGGCCCUUCACAUUUAUACAAACCCUGUGCAAAUGACGUCAUGCUAGGAUCCUUGGCUACUUCCGUACAUUCACAAGGAUCAGUGCUUUUGUUGAAUUCACUGGGGUUAAGAAAGCAAUUUAUACCUAAGAGAACACUUUGUUUUAGUUCAAGAUUAUUGGUUAGGGUUAUUAAGCAUUUUAGGACAAUAAAAUAGGCUUACUAAAAGGUGAGUAAAUAGGUUAACACUAAAUUUGGGAAUAAUAAAUGUAAUUUAGGCAGAUUAAGAAAAAAAGCAUCCGGGAGUUCUUAUUGUGGCUCAGUGGUUAACGAAUCUGACUAGGAA